rnacentral:rRNA from 1 species
UGCGUAGGCGGAAUAUUAAGUCAGUGGUGAAAUCCUGCGGCUCAACCGUAGAACUGCCAUUGAUACUGAUAUUCUUGAAUAUAGUUGAGGUAGGCGGAAUGUGUAAUGUAGCGGUGAAAUGCUUAGAUAUUACACAGAACACCGAUUGCGAAGGCAGCUUACUAAGCUAUGAUUGACGCUGAGGUACGAAAGCGUGGGGAGCGAACAGGAUUAGAUACCCUGGUAGUCC